ACUGAAUCUGGGGGCCCUAGUCCUUGUGAUCGAGGCUCAGCCCGCGGACGGUGUGAGGCCGGUGGCGGCCCCCGGCGCGUCGGGAUCAGGUCUUCCCGGAGUCAGGUUGUUUGUGAAUGCAGCCCAAAGCGGGUGGUAAACUCCAUCUAAGGCUAAAUACCGGCACGAGACCGAUAGCGGACAAGUACCAUAAGGGAAAGUUGAAA